CCUACGGGAGGCAGCAGUGGGGGAUAUUGCACAAUGGGGGGAACCCUGAUGCAGCGACGCCGCGUGGGUGAAGAAGCGCCUCGGCGCGUAAAGCUCUUUCAGCAGGGAAGAAAAUGACGGUACCUGAAGAAGAAGCCCCGGCUAACUACGUGCCAGCAGCCGCGGUCAGACGGAGGAUCCGAGCAUUAUCCGGGGUGACUGGGUGUAAAGAGUUGCGUAGGGGGCAUAAUAAGUAGCUAGUGAAAUCUGGUGGCUCAACCAUUCAGACUAUUAGCUAAACUGUUAGGCUCGAGACCGUUAGGGGUAACUGGAAUGUCUAGUGUAGGAGUGAAAUCCGUAGAUAUUAGAAAGAACACCAAUAGCGUAGGCAGGUUGCUGGGACGGUUCUGACACUAAGGCACGAAAGCGUAGGGAGCAAACGGGAUUAGAUACCCCUGUAGUC
rnacentral:rRNA from 1 species